rnacentral:lncRNA from 1 species
UGAACUAUGUCAUUCAUCAAGGUAUAACAGUUGUGGCUCUGCAUCUUUGUUCUCUCCAUAUCUCCAAUAAGAGGCUCGAGCCAGACAUCCGCUCCACCGGUCUUCCUUAAUAGACUAUGAGUAGCAGGUACUUCAAGUGUAACCUUUCUCAUAUUCAUACCUCUUUUAUUUUGGCCAGAUUCAGAAUGAGGAACAGAGGAAGAAGGAAUAGUGGAAGGAGGAGUAGUAGAAGAAGUGAAAACAAUAGGAGCGGCAGAAACUAAAGCAGGAGCUGAAGGAAUAGGCACAGAGGCUAAAAAAUGAAUGGGAGAAGAAGUUGCGGCAGAAACCAAAGCAGGAGCUGAAGGAAUAGGCACGGGGGCUAAAAAGGAACGGGAGAAAAUGUUGUAAGAACAGUGGAAGAUGUCAAAGGGAAAGAAACAGGUACGGUUGAAGGAGAAAUCGAAGAAACUAGAGAAAAAGAAAUGGAAGUAGAUAAGGGAAUUUCAUUAAGACCGGGGCCAAGUUCCCCACUUUCAAAACCACUCUCGAAGAGACUAUGAAUAGAUUCACUCAUGUCUCUAGGUGCGAGAUCUUCAACGGAUUGGAUUAAAACGGGCUCGGUAAUGGAAGUAACUGCAGAAGAGGUACGAGCAGGAGAAUCUUCAGUUUCUUCAUCCAUAACAACACGUCUCCUAGCCCUUGGUCUAGAUACCAAAGAGGUAUUAUCUUCUUCUUCGUUCUCAGCUUCCAUUACCAUGGCUUUUCUUUUGGCUAAAAGUGCUUUAGCCUUGUCCAAACCAAGGGAGGUGUUGGCAGUAGUGCGCAUAGCCAAAGCGACAUCCGCUUAUUACCAUGGCUUUUCUUUUGGAUAAAAGUGCUUUAGCCUUGUCCAAACCAAGGGAGGUGUUGGCAGUAGCGCGCAUAGCUAAAGCGACAUCCGCUGCCAUCCCUUUUAUUCCAAAUCCUGAUAAAAAUGAAGGUUUGGAUUUAUUAUUCGAUAUUUGUACCUAGAAAAUAUACACGAAAAGAGAUAUAUACCAUGUGUUUUUACAAUCCAUCCAUGUAAGGAAGAAAUAGACUUCCAAGUCCUAUCUUCCUUAGAAGCAAUUUUCAGAAUUGAAUCUACCCAACCACGGAUGUUGGGAAUAGGUUCUACAGUAAGGAAGAAAUAGACUUCCAAGUCCUAUCUUCCUUAGAAGCAAUUUUCAGAAUUGAAUCUACCCAACCACGAAAGUUGGGAAUAGGUUCUACAUCCCCAAUGGUUGCUUCAAAAAACUAAAAAGGGAUAAGUUCAAAGAUAAAAUCAAAAUCUUGGAAAAUAAAUACAGGAAAGGUAAGUAAAAACUUACGUGCAAAAUUUCACUUCUCAGGGAAGGGAAUAUUUGAUUCUCCCAGCAAACCCACUGUACGAACAGCAAUGUAACGCAGAUACCACCCACGAUCCUUAUCGUCAUCGGCAUUUACCAAAACUCUCUUACUCCUUGCAGUUAAGGUAAAAUCCCCAUGGCGCAUUAAACUAGGGUGGUAUAAAUGGAUAAGAUGGGAAAAGGUAAAAUAGAUUUUUUGCCUUAGAAGACAAAAAUAUCAAACAAGCUACAGCCCUCCAAACUAAAGGUCCAAUCUCGGCUAAGCAAAUGUUGAAAAAAUUACAAAAAUCGAGGAUAACUGGAUCUAUGGCAGGUUUAAACCCCAAAGUGAAAGGUUGCAAUCUUUCCUAAUGGUGGGGAUUGUGAGUUCAGUUAUAAGAGAAGGAUAAUGAUUAGUCUUUUCCAAUUUUGCAAUUUGUUUUUGAAGGAAUAUUUUUUCACUUGCAAAAGAUAAAUCAUUUGGUAUAAUUUCUUCAACUGUGGGUUCUGUAGAAGGGUCUGAAAUUUCUUUACCUUUCAAAGAUUG